UAUAUGAGAUGCACGUACAGCGCCUAUUAGUUGCUCAGGCAAUUCAUCCGGGGUGUUUCCCUAACAUAAAUUAGCGAAUUAGAUCAUCAGAUUCAGCAUAUAUAAUAGACACAACCUCACAGAGAGGAUUACAACAAAGAUUGGUCAAGCACUGGCAACUUCAAAUUCGGGAAUAGAAGCAGAAAUUUCAAUGCAGAGAGCCAAUAAACUUUCUGAUGAAAAGAACUGCACAAGAAUCUCAACAGAGAACAUCCUCUUGAAAGAAGAGUCGAAUAUGUUUCAUUACGAGAUAGUGUCCCUGAUCUCUCAAGUAAAAUCUGUGUUACAUCUUUACUCAUUAGCUCUUCGAGUUAUUUCACUUAUUCAUUCUCAAAAAAAUAAGUUGAUUUAUGCUGUUCUGUUGUCAUCCUUUACCCAUAAAUCAUCGCAUGAACCUGAGUACAAUUAUCUAUCUCAGCUGACCAGCUCUUCGGCCAAGUUAUGAGUUUUUUAAACACAAGACGUGUACUUGCUUCUAUUACUGAUAAAAGAUUUUUUCUGAAGAGAUGUGUUUAAAGUCAAACCAUCAAAUUUGUCCCAGGAUCGUAUAGAAUCAUAACUAGUUAAAAGCAUCUGUAUGGUUGUAUUCGCCGUAGUAUCAGAAACAUCAUCAAUGAACAUCUACUACCGGAAGUUAUUCAGAAAGUCAAUAGAAAUAAAGGUACCUUCGGCACAGAUGGGAUGAGCUUCAUUCUACUAUUACGGAACUCAUCAUCCCCAUCAACAAACCGUUGC